rnacentral:tRNA from 1 species
AAAUAAGAAGCAAUAAUUUGCAUUUAGUUUCGACCUAAAUUUUUGAUAUUAAAUUUUAUCCUUAUUUU